rnacentral:lncRNA from 1 species
UUAAGAAAUCUUUAAGAAAUAUUAAAAUAAUCACAAAUAUAGCUUAAAUAAAUUUCAAAGAAGUUCUAAUUUAAUCCUAAUUAAAAUCCUAAUAGACUUCAAUCAAAUCCUAGGCCAAAUUCUAAAUCCUAAACAAAUCUUAAAUCCUAAACUCUAAAAAAAUUCUAUAUCUUAAAUCCUAAAUCAAAUUCUAAAUCCUUCUCCAAUUCUAAACCCUAACUAAAUCCUAAUCAAAUCCUAAAUCCUAACCUAAUUGUAACUCUAAACCAAAUCCUAACCAAAAUCUAUCUAACUCAAUUUAAUCCUAGUAUAAUUUAAAACCUCAAUAUCCAUUUAUUAAACUAUUAAUCUUACUUAAAAUUUUAAAUAAUUUUCAAUAACUAAGUUGCCAAUAAGUAUACAAAAUUUGAAGAGAAUCAAACUUAUCAAAUAGAAGAAAAAUAUCAAAAUUUGCUUGAAUGUCAAUUGGCUUCUCUCUUCAAUCUUGAUGCUAGUCUUCUAGUGCCAAUACCUCCUAUUUACACUGUUCAAUUAUUCUCAAAAUUUAUAUAUCUAUAGAAAAUCAAGUAUUUUACCUUUAUACAUAAAUUUCACUCUAAAUCAAUUAAUAAAUUGUUGAAGAUCUUAGAAAUUCUAAUUGCCUUUCAAAGUCCAAUUUUCAAGACCUCAACCUACUUAAAAUUCAAUAAUCUUGAAUUCAACUAU